rnacentral:misc_RNA from 1 species
GAUGAAGAACGCAGCGAAAUGCGAUAAGUAAUGUGAAUUGCAGAAUUCAGUGAAUCAUCGAAUCUUUGAACGCACAUUGCGCCCGUCAGUAUUCUGGCGGGCAUGCCUGUUCGAGCGUCAUUACGCCCCUCAAGUCCCCUGUGGACUUGGUGUUGGGGCUCGGCGAGGCUGGUUUUCCAGCACAGCCGUCCCUUAAAUUAAUUGGCGGUCUCGCCGUGGCCCUCCUCUGCGCAGUAGUAAAACACUCGCAACAGGAGCCCGGCGCGGUCCACUGCCGUAAAACCCCCCAACUUUUUAUAGUUGACCUCGAAUCAGGUAGGACUACCCGCUGAACUUAAGCAUAUCAAUAAGCGGAGGA